GACAGAGGUCCCGAGCGUUAGGCGGAAUCACUGGGCUUAAAGCGUGUGUAGGCGGCGGCCUAAGUACCUUGUGAAAUCCCACGGCUCACCCGUGGAACUGCUCGGUAUACUGGGUCGCUUGAGCCACUUAGGGGCUACCGGAACAAAUGGUGGGGCGGUGAAAUGCGUAGAUAUCAUUUGGAACGCCAAUGGUGAAAACAGGUAGCUGGGAGUGUGCUGACGCUGAGACACGAAAGCCAGGGGAGCAAACGGG
rnacentral:rRNA from 1 species